rnacentral:rRNA from 1 species
UAAUACGUAGGGGGCGAGCGUUGUCCGAAGUUACUGGGCGUAAAGCGCGCGUAGGCGGUCAUUUAAGUCUGAGGUGAAAGGUUCAGCGCUCAACGUGAACAGUGCCUUGGAUACUGGGUGACUUGAGUUCGGGAGGGGGCAGUGGAAUUCCAGGUGUAGCGGUGAAAUGCGUAGAUAUCUGGAGGAACACCGAUGGCGAAGGCAGCUGCCUGGCCCAGAACUGACGCUGAGGUGCGAAAGCGUGGGGAGCGAACGGGAUUAGAUACCCCGGUAGUCCACGCCGUAAACGAUGAGUGCUAGGUGUUCGGGGUAUCGACCCCCCGGGUGCCGCCGCUAACGCAGUAAGCACUCCGCCUGGGGAGUACGGCCGCAAGGUUG